rnacentral:rRNA from 1 species
GGGUGAGUAACGCGUGAGGAACCUGCCUUUCAGAGGGGGACAACAGUUGGAAACGACUGCUAAUACCGCAUGAUACAUUUGGGUGGCAUCAUCUGAAUGUCAAAGAUUUAUCGCUGAAAGAUGGCCUCGCGUCUGAUUAGCUAGUUGGUGAGGUAACGGCCCACCAAGGCGACGAUCAGUAGCCGGACUGAGAGGUUGACCGGCCACAUUGGGACUGAGAUACGGCCCAGACUCCUACGGGAGGCAGCAGUGGGGAAUAUUGGGCAAUGGGCGCAAGCCUGACCCAGCAACGCCGCGUGAAGGAAGAAGGCUUUCGGGUUGUAAACUUCUUUUAAGAGGGAAGAGCAGAAGACUGUACCUCUAGAAUAAGCCACGGCUAACUACGUGCCAGCAGCCGCGGUAAUACGUAGGUGGCAAGCGUUGUCCGGAUUUACUGGGUGUAAAGGGCGUGCAGCCGGGAAUGCAAGUCAGAUGUGAAAUCCAUGGGCUUAACCCAUGAACUGCAUUUGAAACUGUAUUUCUUGAGUACUGGAGAGGCAAUCGGAAUUCCUAGUGUAGCGGUGAAAUGCGUAGAUAUUAGGAGGAACACCAGUGGCGAAGGCGGAUUGCUGGACAGCAACUGACGGUGAGGCGCGAAAGUGUGGGGAGCAAACAGGAUUAGAUACCCUGGUAGUCCACACUGUAAACGAUGAAUACUAGGUGUGCGGGGACU